GAUGAACGCUGGCGGCGUGCCUAAUACAUGCAAGUCGAGCGAACGGACGAGAAGCUUGCUUCUCUGCUGUUAGCGGCGGACGGGUGAGUAACACGUGGCUAACCUACCUAUAAGACUGGGAUAACUUCGGGAAACCGGAGCUAAUACCGGAUAAUAUUUUGAACCGCAUGGUUCAAAAGUGAAAGACGGUCUUGCUGUCACUUAUAGAUGGAUCCGCGCUGCAUUAGCUAGUUGGUAAGGUAACGGCUUACCAAGGCAACGAUGCAUAGCCGACCUGAGAGGGUGAUCGGCCACACUGGAACUGAGACACGGUCCAGACUCCUACGGGAGGCAGCAGUAGGGAAUCUUCCACAAUGGGCGAAAGCCUGACGGAGCAACGCCGCGUGAGUGAUGAAGGUCUUCGGAUCGUAAAACUCUGUUAGUAGGGAAGAACAUAUGUGUAAGUAACUGUGCACAUCUUGACGGUACCUAAUCAGAAAGCCACGGCUAACUACGUG
rnacentral:rRNA from 1 species